AUGACACAAAGCUGGGAGGAGUGGCUGACGCCUGAAGGCUGUGCUGCCAUUCAGCGAGACCUGGACCAACUGGAGAGAUGGGCAGGAAGAAACCAAAUGAGAUUUAAUAAGAGCAAGUGUAGAGUCCUGCACCUGGGAAGGAACAACCUGAAGUAUCAGUACAGGCUGGGGGACGACCUGCUGGAGAGGAGCUCUGAGGAGAAGGACCUGGGGGUCCUGGUGGACGACAGGUUGACCAUGAGCCAGCACUGUGCCCUUGUAGCCAAGAGGGCUAAUGGGAUCCUGGUGUGCAUUAAAAGGAGCAUGGCCAGCAGGUCAAGGGAGGUGAUCCUCCCCCUCUGCUCUGCCCUGGUCAGGCCUCACCUGGAGUACUGUGUCCAGUUCUGGCCUCCCCGGUACAAGAAAGACAGGGAUCUCCUGGAAAGAGUCCAGCGGAGGGCCACAAAGAUGAUACAGGGUCUGGAGCAUCUUCUUUAUGAGGAAAGGCUGAGAGACCUGGGUCUGUUCAUCCUGGAGAAGAGAAGACUGAGAGGGGAUCUCCUCAGUGUAUAUAAAUAUCUGAGGGGUGGGGGACAGAAGGAUGUAGCCAACCUCUUCUCAGUGGUUUGUGGGGAUAGGACAAGGGGCAAUGGCUGCAAGUUAGAGCACAGGAAGCUCUGCACUGACAUGCGAAAGAACUUCUUCACGGUGAGGGUGACAGAGCACUGGGACAGGCUGCCUAGGGAGGUUGUGGAGUCUCCUUCUCUGGAGAUGUUCAAGGCCAGUCUGGACGCCUACCCUACCUGGACAGCCUGCUCUGAGGAACCUGCUUUGGCAGGGGGAUUGGACCUGAUGAUCUUUCAAGGUCCCUUCCAACCCCUACAGUUCUGUGAUUCUGUGAUCCACCUCCACAGGAGAAAAAAAGGGCAGACUUUUACGCGGUGCUCAAAGAUCCCUGAUCACCUUGGAUACAUGGCAGUGGGAAGAGCCAGAAAGAAGAGCAGUAGUGUCUGCUCAAAGUUAUUUAAUUAA
rnacentral:lncRNA from 1 species